GGAGGGGACAGAGAGAGAAGAACACCGGUGUUUGCCGCCUCCCGUCGCCCGCCGGUCCCUGACCCCGCACCGCCGCCUGCGGCACGAGCUGCUGCCCCGCAGGUUGUAUCCUGACAAUCUGUCCUUAAAAAUGGGCAAACUGUGACUCCACACUCACAGGAAUACAGCUGUGACUGCUCUGACUCCAUCACAGCCUGGAGAAUGGGAAGGGGAAAUUGCUGCCAUCGUUAAUAUCUUCAAGACGCUGAAUGACUGCCGGGACUUUGGAGGAUAUUUAGACCUAGGAUGGAGGAGUCACGGGCCUGUUCAAAGAGAUGCAGCUGGGAAUGGGAAAGCAUGUGUGCAAGAAGGGAAGAACUAUAUUUCCAACACUAUAUUUUAAUCUAAACGUAAUACUGGAUUUCUCCACCUUGAGAAGCUUGAAGGCUUCUUUUUUUUUUUUUUUUAAAAAAAACCCAUCAUUCCUCAAAGAACAUAGAGGUUGUAGGUUAUGCUAAACGAAACUAGUGAUACUGA